CUCUGAAAUCACAACCACUCAAACAAAUGCAAAUUUCUUCUAGGCUUGAGAAUUUAAGUGACUACUCCUCUUUAAUUCAUACUUUCAUAUGGGUCAUAGAUACAAACAUAGAUACGCAACUUGCUUACAAACAUCAAUUGCAUCCUGAUUGUUCAUAAUACAGACACGUAACCAAAACUUAAUUAAGAAAUCAUAAAAAUUAAAAAAUAAAUAAAAACCCAACAAACCCAGUUGAAAGAAUAGAAACAACAAAGGAAGGAAAAAAAAAAAGGACAACUAAAAGAACAUAUCUAGGUUUUCCAUAAGCCAAAAAUCAAACUAACGAAAUUUUUUUACCCAAUAUAACAGGAAAAAUGCGUGAAAUAUCAACUUCAAAGAACAUGAAGAUGGUAAAACAUUAAAUCAAAACCCUAGAUAUCAAUUUUUUUCCUCAAAUUAAAAUCACAUCCAACUAGGGGUGGGCAAAAAAAUCAAACCAACCCACGAAAAUCGGCCAACCCAAACCGAACCAAUUGAUUUGGUUCGAUUUUUUCUUAAAAUUCUGUUGGGUUGAAUUUUUUUAGAAGAAAAUGGGUUGAGUUGUUUGGGUUAUGGGUUGAUCCAUCAAACUGAUAAAACCUACCCAACCCAACCGCCUACUUAAAAAAGUGAAAAAAAUUUAAGCAAAUGUAAAAAUUAAAAAAUUGAAACCUCAAGGCCCUAGUUUACAAUGUUUUAUCAUUUCUCUCAUACUUUCUCUUUUUCUAGCCAUAAAACUAAAUGAUGCACUCUCUCAUUUUCUCUCGUUCAAGCCUGUCGAUCGUCGUCAACUUUGUUUGCAUCUAGGCUUGACGCUAAUCAUCGUGCUUUAUUCAUAUUGGUACUCUUAACUUUAAAUUUUAAGUUGACUAUUCAUUUAUGUUUUGUGAAUGUGAUAAUUUGGGGCUUAGUUUCAGGCUUAUUUUUUCUAUAAGCAAGAUGAUAAUUUGUAUAAUAUAUGCAUUUUCCUUCAUGCCUAAUUACAAGUUUUUGUUCAUGGCGAAGCAUUGUGGUUGAUAGGUUUUUAUUGCCGAGCAUAUUUUUAUGAUUUUUAAUGUCUAAACCAACCAACCUAACCCGACCUGAUCGAAAUUGGAUUGAAUUGGGUUGAAAUACAUAAUUGAGUUGUGAUGAUUUGAUUUUAGAUCAAACUGAUCAUGUUGAGUUGGAUUUGGAUUGCAUAAUAAAUCGACCCAACCCAACCACGCCUACCCUUACAUCUAACCAUAACACAAAUACAACAUAAAUUAUUCAAAACGUUUAAAAGUUAAAGAAAAUGAAAAAGACAUUUACCUCUUUCGAUUAAUCCUAUGGAAGGGAAAAAUUGAACAUUGGAGAAAGAUGUAGAUAUGAGUUCAAUGGUUGUAAGUUAUCGAUCGUUGAAAUGAGGAGCGAUUAUUUUGGGGAAGGCUGCUUACCGAUCAAAGAGGAAUGGCGUGGUUUUGGAUUCACUUUUAAGAAAUGGAGGAGUUAGAGUAGAACAAGAAGAGAUAAUGGAGUUGGAUUAUGGGUUUAGA
rnacentral:lncRNA from 1 species